UACGAAGGGGGCUAGCGUUGCUCGGAAUUACUGGGCGUAAAGAGCUCGUAGGUGGUUUGUCGCGUUGUUCGUGAAAUCUCACGGCUUAACUGUGAGCGUGCGGGCGAUACGGGCAGACUGGAGUACUGCAGGGGAGACUGGAAUUCCUGGUGUAGCGGUGGAAUGCGCAGAUAUCAGGAGGAACACCGGUGGCGAAGGCGGGUCUCUGGGCAGUAACUGACGCUGAGGAGCGAAAGCGUGGGGAGCGAACAGG
rnacentral:rRNA from 1 species